AUUCCUCUGAGUUGCAUAUACACUAAAAUUGGAAUGAUAUGGAGUACAUUAGCAUGGCCCCUGUGCAAGGAUGACACGCAAAUUUGUGAAGCAUUCCAUAUUUUU